GGGUGCCAUUGUGAUAUGACGUUUAUUCAGCAAUGAAACAAAAGAAUCUUAAAAAGUUUGAAAGACACACAAUUUUAAGACAACAAAAUUCAAAUGUAACAAAUUGCACAAAUUAACCAAAUAACACUGAUCAUACAAUACUCUUUAAAGAAACAAGUGUGUACUAAAGUAUCCAUAGAUCCUAAAAUAUUUGUUAUGCCUAGUUUACAAGCUCCUGUACAAAAGCAAUUAUAAAUAGUUCACAUCUAGAAAAAAUACACAGUAACCUUUAAAAUAGAAUUUAUCCUUACAUAUAAACAGACUUUGUAGAAAAAAAGGAUAUUAAAAGUAAGAAUUUUUCAUAGCACCAAUCAUCUUAUGUUUUACAAAGUGAACAUUGCAAAUAGGAAUCAGCUUUUAUUUAUAGAUUGAUCAGAUUUUAAUCAAAAGAGCAGGAAGAUAAAAAUCAACAAAUAAUGUUGAGAAUCACAGAGAACCACUAAGUAGAAGGAGGUGUAAGGAAAUGAUUGGAGGGAAAAUAGAACUACAUUGUUUCUGAUACAUAUCACUUCUGAUCAGUGUCGCACUUGAGUUCCUUUACAGUUUUCAAUAGAAGCAGGAUAACACUUCUUACUAGAAUCUGAAUCUGUCAACAACUUGGAAUUUGCACUAGAAUUAAAGUUUCUAUCAAACUGAGAUUAUGAGAGGGAGAUGACAAGAGCCCUCUGUUUUUCUGGCAGGCCCUGUUUUCAUUUUACAGAGUGUACCCACAAUCUGAGGACUAGGACAGUGACCUGAACAAAAAGUUGAUUUGG
rnacentral:lncRNA from 1 species